CGUGUAGGCGGCUCGAUAAGUCCGCUCUGAAAGUCCAGGGCUCAACCCUGGGAUGCGGGUGGAUACUGUCGGGCUCGAGUCCGGAAGAGGCGAGUGGAAUUCCUGGUGUAGCGGUGAAAUGCGCAGAUAUCAGGAGGAACACCAAUGGCGAAGGCAGCUCGCUGGGACGUGACUGACGCUGAGACGCGAAAGCGUGGGGAGCAAACAGGAUUAGAUACCCUGGUAGUCCACGCCGUAAACGAUGGGCACUAGGUGUGGGAGGUGUCGACUCCUCCCGUGCCGAAGCUAACGCAUUAAGUGCCCCGCCUGGGGAGUACGGCCGCAAGGCUAAA
rnacentral:rRNA from 1 species